rnacentral:rRNA from 1 species
GAUCAUGGCUCGGGACGAACGCUGGCGGCGUGCUUAACACAUGCAAGUCGAACGAAGAGCGAUGGAAGCUUGCUUCUAUCAAUCUUAGUGGCGAAUGGGUGAGUAACGCGUAAUCAACCUGCCCUUCAGAGGGGGACAACAGUUGGAAACGACUGCUAAUACCGCAUACGAUCCAAUCUCGGCAUCGAGGAUGGAUGAAAGGUGGCCUCUAUUUAUAAGCUAUC